rnacentral:lncRNA from 1 species
CACACUGUUUCUCUCUGUUUUAUUGCAACAACAUAAUAUUUGGAUUUCCAAAGUUACCCUUGGUUUAUCCACAGACACACUCAACCACUGUUUCGUUGUCCUUAUUCUCCCUCUUCCAUAAAAAGACCUCUACUCCCACACAACACAGUACGGAACAGAGAAAGAGAAAUGUCGAAGGAAGUGAGCGAAGAAGAUCACUUGUGAAUUCACGCAGUUUGACAUAGCCUAGAACUCGAUAGUUUUCCAUAGUAUUAAUCUCGAUAGUUUUACAUUAGUUUCACUUUCCAAAACAAUUACUCUGUCGCAUGGAAUCUGAUAUUAUAAUAUUUUAAACAAAGUACGACAUUAAUGAGAUUGCAUUGGAUAGAAGAGACAUUCUUUUUUAUUUUUGGUACAAGGGAUAGAAGCGACAUCCUAUUAAUUAAAUAGAAAUUUGUAUUAAUAGCCAGGUAAUUAUUGCUUUUUCAAAAAGAGUUGUCGUACGUGAGUGGCACGUAUGCCACUUGUCCAAACUCCAAACUCCAAACCAGAGGAAUCACUUUCGUUGAUCAUGAGAAGACACUAACCAGAAAAGCAACUACUCCACUCUCACGACCACAACCACAUGAGCUACACCACUCUUCCCCGUAUAAAAAUACUCCUCUUCCUCUCUCAUACCCUUUUCUCUCUGUUCACCGAACCCAGAAAGAGAGUCUACUCACCGAAUCUAGAGAGACUCUUCUUUUUCUUUCUCCUCCAUCCAUUUUCACGGUAUUUUCAUUUCUCUCUCUCAUUCUACUUCAUUACACCGAUUAGUUAGGGUUUUUUCUUCUUGCUUAUUUACUUCUUAAUUAUAAGCCGAUUUUUUAUUUCAUUUUUUGCAAUCUUUACUAUUUUAUACUCAUAUUUGUCUAACUUUGCUCUUUUAUCUAUUUCAUCACAAUCACCUAUGUAAUUAAUUAUUGCGAUUUUAUUAUUACUUGAUCUAUCUAUGUAACUCAGAUGUAGUAGAUCGUGGAUAACUAAUGAGUGAUCUGUGAUCUGGUUUAUGCUUAUGAUGCAUCAUUCUAUCUGAAUCUAGUCUUCUACACUCUGGAUCUGAGAUCUUUUUUAACUAUUGUGUGUUUGUACCGGUCAUAGAUUCCAUUCGCUGGCGUUAGUUUCAAAAUAAUUCCGGUUUUGUUGAUUUAUUGACUGGACUUACUGUCUGAUGUGUUGUUUUAAGUGAGAAUCUCGCUGUUUUUUCUUUAUAGAACUUCAUUUGGUGUUUGGAAAUUUGAGAUUUGAGAUACUCUGACUCAUAGUAAAUUGAAGAUUUUAGUGCAUAUCUUAAUGUAAAGCUUAAGAUUACAGGUUGAACAUGCGUUCAUUGUUUGUUUAUUCUAUGACAUUGUGGAUAUGUUCUAUUUUACGAUUGCUCUACUUUCUUUCUUUGAAGACUUAAAAUUGUCUAACCUUUUUCUUUUUGUUGAACACAAACGAUACUGACCCUAUGUUUACGUUUCUUUUGCCGUUAUUUCAAACCUGCAUUUAUUUUAUGUACCUUUCUGAUUUGCAAACUCUCUAAUACACAGGAUGAGAAAGAAGGUUAACCUGCUCUCGUUUCUAACCUGCGUUUUUAAGUACCUUUUAUGUUAAUUUGACAUUUGACUAAUUAUUAACUUGUUUUUAUUGAUAGGUGCUUAAUUGUGUUUUUUUCACAGAUUUCUAAGAUCCGGAAAUUUAACACAGGUUAAUUCUUCCGNNNNNNNNNNNNNCUUCCGAUCUAUCUUUACAAUAAACAAAAAAAAUACUUAAUUCAAUAUGAAUUUAUUAAAUGGGGUCUACCGUGCCACGUCAUCUUGAAAUAACCCAUUCAUUUUUUACUCAUAAAGUGAACUCACAUGUUCAUUAGAUAGGGUCUACGCUAAAGAAUCAUUUAUUUAUUAUUAUUCAUAAAUUAAUCAUAAAAAGAUAACCGUCCUUCAUGAGAGAACCGUGAUGACAGCUUUGCACGUCUCCAACAGUGAACUCGCCAAAAACUAAAGGUUACAUAAUUAUGGUGCACGAACUUUGGCUACCUUUGGAGAUGCUCUAAUAGCUAAACAUUCCACCUCUUUUUUUAUUCUGUUUUUCUUUAUUAUUUCUUAUAUAAAUUUUCUUUUUCUUUUUAUUUCAGAAUUAGAAAUGUCUAAUAAUAGAUAUAACUUGAAGAUUAUUACCGACCAGCAGACCCACAGAAUUAGAAAUCCGCCAAAUAGAUUUUCACCUCCACAUUUCCACCCAAGAAGAACAAUUCUCCACCUUCAUAAGAAGAACAAUUCUCCACCUUCAUAUUCCACCUCCAUAUAUCUAACCAAGAAGAAGAAGAAGAAUAAGAAGAAGAAUAGUUACUUCUCUACCUCACUGUCUUCACCGUCUUCAUCGUCUUCACCGUCUUCAUCGUCUUUCUUCACCUCAAGAUACUUCUCCACCUCAAGAUACUUCCCCACCUUAGGGACAGGUAAAUAAUGUAGGAUGUUUAUGUAUGUUGGAUACUAUAACUUGUUUUUAACUUGUUUUUUUGUUGUGCAGGAUUAUAAUAAGUUUGACCUAGAAGCUUAGUACAGUUGAACCUCAAUGUCUAAGCGAUCUGUGGCAUUAACUACGUAUUCCCUUCUUCAAAUUGUCACUUAAAAUAAAAAUAAGGGACCAACUCGAAAAUAAAAAUAAAAGUUUAAAACGUUAUCUGAAAUUAAGUUAAGGGACGAUUAAUGUAAUUUAGUCUUUUUAUUACCAUCAAUCCAGUUCAAUUAAAUAUAUUUGUUUUUAUUUUUUUUAUAUAUUUUAGAAAAUAGUAAAAAUUUCUGAAAGGAAUUAGAGUCAAAUAGAAACCAAAUACAUCCAUGAUUUUUCUAAAAUUUAAAAGUUUAACUAUUUAUUUUUAUCAUUAUUAUUAUUUUAAUUUUUUUAAUAAAUUUAUUAAAAAUCAUAAAGUAACAGACAAAAUUAAGUGUCAACAAUCAGGAUGAUAUGGACGCUUGUGUUAACCUGCUUUUACCGUAUGUUUUUUUUUUUCUAUCCUAGUAUUUUUUUAAAUUUUAUUGCUCUUUUUUCCCAAGGUAAUUACCAAUUAAAAUUUAAUAACUGUAUAUAAGUGUUGCAAUUAAAGGUUAAUAACCAUAUAUACAAUUAUUUAUUGGAAAGAGAAGUGAGAUGUGGGAAAAGAAGAGGAAUAAUAUUUUGGGUGUAUAUUGUACCAUUAGAUUUGGUGGAAUUUUUUAUUUCAUGGUGAAAAAUAUUCUUACCCGGUGCAAGACGUAUACAUAGUAAUAAUAUAUUUGACACUUAAUCUUUUUAUUUUAUAUAAAAUUAAUUUUAAUCCUUUUAUUUUUUUAUUAUUAAAAUUGAGUUUUUAAUUCCAUUAUUUUGUGACUUUUAGGAUUUUGUUGCUCCCCUCCUGAACAUGGAUUGAUUG